rnacentral:rRNA from 1 species
AUUGAACGCUGGCGGCAGGCCUAACACAUGCAAGUCGGACGGUAGCACAGAGAGCUUGCUCUCGGGUGACGAGUGGCGGACGGGUGAGUAAUGUCUGGGGAUCUGCCCGAUAGAGGGGGAUAACCACUGGAAACGGUGGCUAAUACCGCAUAACGUCGCAAGACCAAAGAGGGGGACCUUCGGGACUCUCACCAUCGGAUGAACCCAGAUGGGAUUAGCUAGUAGGCGGGGUAACGGCCCACCUAGGCGACGAUCCCUAGCUGGUCUGAGAGGAUGACCAGCCACACUGGAACUGAGACACGGUCCAGACUCCUACGGGAGGCAGCAGUGGGGAAUAUUGCACAAUGGGCGCAAGCCUGAUGCAGCCAUGCCGCGUGUAUGAAGAAGGCCUUCGGGUUGUAAAGUACUUUCAGCGGGGAGGAAGGCGAUGUGGUUAAUAACCGUAUCGAUUGACGUUACCCGCAGAAGAAGCACCGGCUAACCCCGUGCCAGCCGCCGCCGUAA